rnacentral:lncRNA from 1 species
AAUGAGAAACUGCCAGAGGGCAGACCAGAAGAAGGAUAACGACUGGACUAUUAAAAAAAGAUUAAAGAUAAUUUUUAAAAGAAUGUUCUGCCCAGAUAUAUCAAAAUUGUAUCAAGGUGACCAAAAAAAAAAAAAAACCACAGAAGGUGAUAGACAUGAGUUAUGAAAGAGGACUUAGGCUAAUUGUUUUGUUAGUCCUGGAUGUGUAAUUGAUUUGAGGUGGGGUGUGGAUAAAUAAAUAAAAAUAUAUUCGAUAGCAAAAGUGAAAAUCCAGUGUAGAGCUCCACAGCUUCAGAGUGGCUCUUUUAAGAGUAUAGACGUUUGUUUGGAUAUUUAGUCUUUGUUUCUGGUUAAUUUAGUGUGUGUGUGUUUCUCCUAAGAAUUUUUAUACUAGCAUUUUAAAAACUAUUCUUUCCACCUCACUCCUUUUUUUCUAAUGGAUCCCUGUUUUCUACAAAAUAUUUUAGUCUCUUAGAGUAGUAAGCAAAAUUCUCCAGAACAUAGUUUGCCCCCACCCCCCUUCUUGAGACAGCAUCCCAGGAUGACUUGAAAGUCCUAAUCCUCCUUCCUUAGUUUCCCAAGUGCUAGCAUAAUAGCUUUGUGCCCUGGGCCCAACUUUAUGGUAUAGACUCUUUGUUGUUCUCUAUUUCUUCUCUAUAAGAUGGCCUUUUCGGGGAUUUCCAACUUUCACAGUUUUGUCCAGGGCCCUCUUUUGAAGCACAGUUUAGAUGUAAUGUCCUCAACAAAGUUUUUCCUAUUCCUUAAGUCUGGGUUAUCUUCUAGCCAGAUACUCAAAUAUUUUUAUCUGUAUCCUUCAGUAACAGCUGAUGAAAUAUAGGCUAUUUAACCUAUUUUUACUUAUUGCAGCAUCCAAAAUGUUCAAAUCAAACACAAAGUCCAAAACAAUUAUAUUGUAGGUAGGGUAAAUGGUUUACCAUGUCUAGUUUAUCAAAUCUAAGGAUGGGAGUGCAGGACAAUAAUCAAAGUUUGGCCACCCAGUGGAGGAAAUUUUCUAACCUGUGCUUGAGAGAAAUGUGGGGAUUCAGAUUUUUGGCAGUAAUAAGCUUAUGUAAUGAGAAAAGGGAGUGAAGACAACCCUACAAUUGCAAAGAGAAGCAGUGCUAUUUUUGUCCAUUUAACUUAACUUUAUAGCCUUAGUAACAUAGGAUUUAGUAACAGAAGUAUUCAUAGUUGCACAAGAUUUGGAAGACAUUAUCCACUGAAUUAAUGUUAGUUUAGUGUAUAUAUAUAUAUAUAUAUAUAUAUGAGUCUCUUCUACUGAAAGUUUUAACUGCUUAUCCACAGAUAAGAAAAAUUUCCAAUACUCAAAUAUCAGUAAAAGAAGGUGUGUGUGACUGAGGGAUGUGACUCACACUCAGCAUGGAUUGUACCUUCUACAUUGUACCUUAGACAGGCAUGAAAAGAGAGUGAUGUGUGCCUGCCUGCUUUUGCCUCCUUUCCUGAGCUGUGCAUCCUUUGGCCAUUCUCAAACUGACACCACACUCCGGCCUCUUCAGCUCUCCCAGUGCUGACUCAAUAGAAGUAGCUGUGCAGGGAGCUCUGAGCCUUAGGCCGGGCUUGUGACUGUUGAGGAUCUAACCCAUGGAUUGAGCAGCUCCUUGCUUUCUGAUGUUGAGAUAGCCAUUUUUUGAACCACCCAUAUCCUGUCUUAUAAACCAAUCUAAUAAACACAACUUUAUACCACAAAAAAAGAAGGUGUGUGUGGCAUAAGAUAGUAAAUUAGUGGCAUAUCUUAAAAGAAGUGCCAGUGUAUAUCAAGUAGAACUAGGUAUAUAUAUAUAUUCUUUAUAUGGUAACCAACUGGAGGCUCUGUAUUAAUUGCCAUCAAGAAGGAGCUUCUCUGAGAGUUGAGAGACACUCUCAUCUAUGGACAUAAAAAUAAGUCAUUAGUAGUAGUUUUUGUUUUGUUUUGUUUUGUUUUGUUUUUUUGAGAUAGGGUUUCUCUGUGUAACCCCAACUGUACUGGAACCUUCUCUCUGUAGGCCAGGCUGGCCUUCAACUCAGAGAUCUGCCUCCUCAGUGCUGAGAUUAAAGGCAUGUGCCACCAGCACAUAACUAAGGAGUAGUUUUAAUACUACGUGCAAUUAGUAGAAUUCUCACCUUGGUCCAUUCUUUAGUGCCAGGUAUGUUUCAUCUCAUGGACCUGGGCCCUUGAGUCACUCAGAAAGUGGUUCCUUAUUCCAACAGCAUUCAUGCCGCUCUCACAGCAGUGAAUCUAUCUUGUUAGGCCAGUCAUUGUUGUAGCUUGCAGGUGAGUACCAGUUUGAUGUUCCCAUGUUUCAUGAUUCAAGUAUGUGUUAUCUUCAGCAACAUGGUCUUAGCAUCAAUUUCUAGAGGGUAGCAAGGAGUACUGACAAUGACCUGUGGUAUUUGGGGGCUAUAUGACCUUGUUGCUUGACAGCUCAAAACAAGGUAAUUCAUUCCUGGUGGUAAAGUUUACAUUUGCUAGCAUGGGGUGUCUAAUUGGUGUAUUAUCUAUGUCAUAGAGCAACUCCAUUAAGACAUAUUUUCACAUGUAUAUAUUUUAUGAAGUUUUGCAGUAGUUGGAUUCUGUAUGGCUUUUUAAACAGGCCUUUUGUGUUAGUUAUCCCUCCCUUUACCCUCUCCUCUUCCAUACCGUUUACCACCCCAAUUUAACCAUUCUUGUUUCACUAUGUCUCCUCCCUUGAAGGCCCUUCUCCCCUAUGGUUCCUUACUAAAUCCUGAUCUCUUUGAGUAUCCCAAAUGGAAGACAUAUUCAAAGCUAACAUCCAAAAAUGAGAGUAAACCUGAGAUCUUUAUCUUUCUGGGUCUGGGUUAUGUCACUCAGGAUGAUUGUUUCUAACUCUAUACACUUACAUGUGAAUUCCGUAAUUUUUCUUAACAGUUGAAUGAAAUUCCAUUGAGUAAUUGUAUCUCAUUUACUUAUGAGUUGGGCUUGACAUCCUACCCCUAGUUGAAGGCUGUUGGUAUGUUAAUUUGCUGAUAGAGGGAGAGAUAGCUUUCUCUAAGACUAGAGCUCAUGGUAAGAUACCCUAAUUCCAAUGGAAGACCAUGCCUCCAAAGAUAUUUAGACAGCAAAAUUUUAUCUUAAAGGUUGUUUUAAAAGGGAGACACAAAAUUGUGUGUAGAGAGAAGGACAUGAAUCUGGGAAGAGUUGGGGGAAGACAAAACUUGCAACAGACUAAUAAAAAUUUUAAAAAGCAAAACAUAAAAUGAAACUAAUAAAAACCUCAAACAUUUCAGGUAUUUGAUAGUCAGAUCAUAACAUUGUCAGCUGCAGAUAGACUGAGAAUAUAAGAAACUUGAUGUGAACAGAUGGGAGAGAUAAAGAAAUGUAGAAGCUACUCUUGGACGAUGUGAGAUACGAUAUUGAAUAUUGACUGCUACUUCAAGCUCAAGAAAUAUGAAAGCAUUAGUAAGUUAAUAUAUUAAUAUUAAGGCAUUAAUAAAUUAAAAUGUUAAAGUGUUCUCUGUCAUCCAAAAGGAUUGUUGAAUGAGUUAGAAGUGGAUAUUCUCAGACCAAACAUGCUGAAUAUGUAUCUGCAAUUGAGAAAAUUUCCAGGUGAUUUGUUUGUUUGUUUGUUCAUUUAUUUAUUUGUUGUUGUUAUUUGGGACAAGGUUUCAUUCUGUAGCCCUAGCUGUCCUGGAACUCUCUAUAGAGACCAGGCUGGCCUUGAACUCAUAGGGAUCCACCUGCCACUGACUGCCUCCCAAGUCCUGAGAUGGAAGAUGUAUGCUACUACAUUCAGCUUUCCAAGUGAUUUUUAUGCAAUUAAAAUUUGAGAAUCACUGUAAAAUGUAUAAAAUAUAAAGAUAUUAAAAUUAAGG